rnacentral:rRNA from 1 species
GACGAACGCUGGCGGCGUGCUUAACACAUGCAAGUCGAACGGAAAGGCCCUGCUUUUGUGGGGUGCUCGAGUGGCGAACGGGUGAGUAACACGUGAGUAACCUGCCCUUGACUUUGGGAUAACUUUAGGAAACUGCGGCUAAUACCGGAUAGGAGCUCCUGCUGCAUGGUGGUGGUUGGAGAGUUUCGGCGGUUGUGGAUGGACUCGCGGGUUAUCAGCUUGUUGGUGGGGUAGGGGCAUACCAAGGCUUUGACGGGUAGCCGGCCUGAGAGCGUGACCGGCCACCUGGGGACUGCGAGACGGCGCAGUAUGCUACGGGCGGCAGCAGUGGGGAAUAUGGCGCAAUGGGCGGAAGCCUGAUGCAGCGACGCCGCGUGCGGGAUGACGGGCUUCGGGUUAUAAACCGCUUUCGCCUGUGACGAAGAGUGAGUGACGGUAAUGGGUAAGAAAGCACCGGCUAACUACGUG